UGGCCACCAAAAGGUUCAAGUGUGACA
rnacentral:piRNA from 1 species